AUUGAACGCUGGCGGCAUGCCUUACACAUGCAAGUCGAACGGCAGCACGGGUGCUUGCACCUGGUGGCGAGUGGCGAACGGGUGAGUAAUACAUCGGAACGUACCUUAUCGUGGGGGAUAACGCAGCGAAAGCUGUGCUAAUACCGCAUACGCCCUGAGGGGGAAAGCGGGGGAUCGCAAGACCUCGCGCGAUUAGAGCGGCCGAUGCCUGAUUAGCUUGUUGGUGGGGUAAAAGCCCACCAAGGCGACGAUCAGUAGCUGGUCUGAGAGGAAGAUCAGCCACACUGGGACUGAGACACGGCCCAGACUCCUACGGGAGGCAGCAGUGGGGAAUUUUGGACAAUGGGGGCAACCCUGAUCCAGCAAUGCCGCGUGAGUGAAGAAGGGCUUCGGGUUGUAAAGCUCUUUUGUCAGGGAAGAAACACCGGCUCUAACACAGUCUGGGAAUGACGGUACCUGAAGAAUAAGCACCGGCUAACUACGUGCCAGCCGCCGCGGUAA
rnacentral:rRNA from 1 species